UGGGGAAUAUUGCACAAUGGGCGCAAGCCUGAUGCAGCCAUGCCGCGUGUAUGAAGAAGGCCUUCGGGUUGUAAAGUACUUUCAGCGAGGAGGAAGGUGUUUGUGGGUUAAUAACCGCAGCAAUUGACGUUACUCGCAGAAGAAGCACCGGCUAACUCCGUGCCAGCAGCCGCGGUAAUACGGAGGGUGCAAGCGUUAAUCGGAAUUACUGGGCGUAAAGCGCACGCAGGCGGUCUGUCAAGUCGGAUGUGAAAUCCCCGGGCUCAACCUGGGAACUGCAUCCGAAACUGGCAGGCUAGAGUCUUGUAGAGGGGGGUAGAAUUCCGAGGUGUAGCGGUGAAAUUGCGUAGAGAUCUGGAGGAAUACCGGUGGCGAAGGCGGCCCCCUGGACAAAGACUGACGCUCAGGUGCGAAAGCGUGGGAGCAAACA
rnacentral:rRNA from 1 species